rnacentral:lncRNA from 1 species
CAGCUAUUAUCUAGUUGUGGUUCUAGUAAAUUCUUAAGUCUAGUUUACUCAAUAUUUUCUAUGAAUAUGAAGGCAUCUAUCUAGUGUCAAGUAUGUAGAAGAAGUGAGGAAAAAUCUCUCAAAAAUAGAGAGAAGAGUGUGCUAUAGCAACUCCUUUGUAAUCCCCCAAAUUUCAUUAGUAAAAUCUCAUAUUUCUCCAAUCUCUAUCCUUCUACAUCCAACAAUAAGUGCCAAAGGGAAAAGAGAAAGACAAUCAACGGCGAUGAUUUGCUUUGGGCUAUAACGACUCUUGGAUUCAAGGAUUAUGUCGAACCAUUAAAGAUUUACUUGCAGAGAUUUCGUGAUACAGAAGGUGAGAAGCCUGCAAUGUCUGGAAGAGGAGGAGAAAACGAGAGUGGAGGGAAUGGCAGUGUUGUGAAUAUGGAGAAUAAUGGGGUUGGUUAUUAUGAAGGACGUGUACGGAUCCAGUGCGUAUAAUCGGACGGCCGGUAGUACUUAGUAUGUUGUUGGAUUAGAGAAGGUCGGGCCGGGUUAUCAAACGGGCUCUGGGCCGUCUUCUGCUACACGAAGGCCCAGGUAGCUGCUUCACUUGUUACCUUUACCUUUUUGUCAUCACCUCCCUAGUUAUGUUAGAUAAACUAGUGAUGGGGAGUGGGUACAUUGGAUGUAUAGAUUAAGGCUUCAUUUGUCUACCAUUUUUUUACAUUCUAUCAUAUUAUUUUUUCAAUAGUAUUCAUUUUCAAGCACACAUUCUUCAUUAAAAUAAUAUUACAC